rnacentral:lncRNA from 1 species
UUACACAUCCAUGUACUGAAUAAGAAAGGGAUAAAGAGUUGUCUUACAAUCGCCACUUCACACAAUACAUAAAUAUAGCAUUACAUCAUCCAGAAUACAAUCAAGGUCCGACUACGGAAGCAAAUAAAGAAAGACAACCCCUAAUGCAUUGAUCCUCGAUCGUCCCGACUGGGUUCCACUACUGAUCUUCAUCGAGCUCCCACUUGAGCUGGGUUGCGUCACCUGCACUGGUAUCGUCGGCACCUGCAACUGUUUGGAAGUAAUCUGUGAGUCAUGGUGACUCGGCAAUCUCACACCCGCGAGAUCAAGACUAUUUAAGCUUAUGGGUAGGAAAACGUAGUGAGGUGGAGCUGCAGCAAGCACUAGCAUAUAUGGUGGCUAACAUACGCAAAUGAGAGCGAGAAGAGAAGCAAAGCACGGUCGAGAAACUAAAAGUGGUCAAGAAGUGCUCCUGAAACUUCUUACGUUCAAGCAUAACACAAGAUCGUGCUCUCUUGCCGGACUCCGCCGGAAAGAGACCAUCACGGCUACACACGUGGUUGAUGCAUUUUAAUUAAGUUAAGUGUCAAGUUUUCUACAACCAGAUAUUAACAAAUUCCCAUCUGCCCAUAACCGCGGGCACGGCUUUCGAAAGCUCAAAACCCUGCAGGGGUGUCCCAACUUAGCCCAUCAAAAGCUCUCACGGUCAGCUAAGGACAUUCCUUCUCCAAGGAACACCCGAUCAGACUCGGAAUCCCAGUUACAAGACAUUUCGACAAUGGUAAAAGAAGACCAACAAAGCCGCCUGAAUGUGCUGACAAAUCCCGAUAGGAGCUGCACAUAUCUCGUUCUCAGGGCACACCGGAUUGUCCAAACUUCUGGUAGGCCAACCCGGAGUUGCCCCUGGUGGCCACCGGCGGCUGACAGGUUGGACCAACACUCAGAGGAGAACUGGCCUGGGGGUUUAAAAUAAAGAUGAACCUUGAGUCUACAGAACCCAAGGGAAAAAGGCUUAGGUGGCAAAUGGUAAAACCAAGGUUGGGCCUUGCUUGAGGAGUUUUAUUCAAGGCGAACUGUCAAGGGGUUCCCAUUAUAACCCAACCACGUAAGGAACGAAGAAUCAAGGAACAUAACACCGGUAUGACGUAAACUAGGGUGGCAAGAGUGGAACAAAACACCAGGCAUAAGGCCAAGCCUUCCACCCUUUACCAAGUAUAUAGAUGCAUUAAAGUAAGUAAGAGAUAAAUAAUGAUAUCCCAACAAUACCCAUCUUCCAACAUGGAACAACCUUCAUCUUCACCUGCAACUAACAAUGCUAUAAGAGGGGCUGAGCAAAGUGGUAACAUAGCCAAACAACGGUUUGCUAGGACAAGGUGGGUUAGAGGCUGGACAUGGCAACAUGGGAGGCAUGAUAUAGCAAGUGGUAGGUAUCGCAGCAUAGCAAAAGAGCGAGCAACUAGCAAGCAAAGAUAGAAGUGAUUACGAGGGUAUGGUCAUCUUUCCUGAGAUCCUGCAAGGAAGAAGAACGAGUCCACGAAGAAGACAAACGGACAUAGUCGAAUGAAUCCUCACAACGCGACGUUAUCGGAACUAACCCGAAGAAGCAACACCGGAAAGAAGGAAACAACAUAGUAAACAACCAUCACAUAAUCAUGGCAUGAUGCACAACCAAGUAUGACGCAUGUCCGGUUUAAAUAUGCAUGGCAUGGCAUGACAAAGUGCAACAAACAACACUACAAAUUAAGUGGAACUCAAUAUGCAACGAGUUGCAUAUUGACGGAACACCACAUUCAAGUUAUUUAGUUCGAUCUCGUUUAUGUACCCAACAGUAUUAAAUGUUGAUUAACAUGGCAAGAGGUGAAGCAUAAUAAAAGUACCUAUCUAGGCAAGUUUAAAUGAGGCCGGAAGUAACAAACAACAAGUCCGGUAAAUCCCCACAUGUAAUAUUUGAAUUAGGUACUGUUCUGCCCUAAACCAAAUUUUAGAGUUGUUAAACAUGCAAAGUAAAGCCAUCAUGAUAAACUAGGCAUUUUUCUACCCCAUUUACAUAUAAAGUUUAUUUAAAAUGGAGCUACGGUUAUUAAGUUAUGAAUUAAGGCAUUUUAACAUGGCAUAUGGACAAAAUUACACAAACAGCAUUUUAAACAUUUGAAACAUAGAUGAAAGUUGGAUAUUAUUAAACUAGACAAAAUUCUAGACAUUUUACAUCUUAAGUUUGUUUUAAUCGGAUGCAAGGUUAAUUAGUUAGGAUAUGCAUGAAGUGCAAGGGUGUUUCUGCAAAACUGGCAAAUCUCAGGAAAAAAAUAGAAAAAUCGUCCUGGCAAGAAAAAAACAUAACGGGCUGAAACUGGGGGCGGACUGGGCUGCAGAAGCAGUGCACAGGGUGAUGGGCUGCCAGGAGCUGCUCACCAAAGGCACUAGGCCGGCUCGGUGAUGGGCUGGUCGAGCUGGGCCAGAUGCGGAUGGCUGAGGCCCAUGCGCGUGGAGGAGGCCGACCCUGCUCGGCUGGGUUGACGACACGGUCAACGGAAGUGAGUGCUCGAGCGCUCGUUUCCUGCUCGAUGCAGAGAGCUGUGGGAGGCUCCUGGAGUUGGAGGGAAGUGGCGGCACGCACAGGAGGUCGGGGAUGGAUGGGUCCAUGGUGGAGGCGGCGAGAUCCGAGGCGGGGUCGCAGUUCCCGGCGAGGAACAUGACCGAUGGCGGGCUGCUCCUGCUUCUUUUCAAAGAGAAAGGAGGGAGAGCAGGGGAGGUUAGAGCAGCUAAAAGGGAGACCAAGAAUGGGGGGUGAGUGGUGGCAGGGUCUCACCGGUGAGGAGUGCCGGCUACCAGCGGGCAAGGCAGCAGAGCAGCAGCUGCAGAAAACGGCGACGGGGCCGGAGGGCGGGUCCGUCCAGGAACAGGGCGGAGGCGAGCUGGGCCUCGAGGUGAUGUAGGCCAUGGUGACGACGUGGUCCUGUCGACGAAUGGAGAGAGAGCAAGCUAAGACAUUAAGGGAAGGAGAGAUAAGCGGAGCAGGAGGGAAGGAAGGGACGCGAGACAGGGACCUACUGGUCCGGCGGCUCUGCUCGGAGUGGUGGCCAUCGGCGUGGGAGGCUAGCGAGGCAGGGGGAGUAGUGGCCUGCACGAGGGAGCGAGAGGUUCGUUGGGGGUCUCUGCUCGCGGAAAACUGGGAGCGAUGCUGCGGUGGCGACCGUGGUGGUGCCAGAUCCGGUCAUGGGAGGUCGCCGGGGUCCCGUUCCCUGCCGGAUCGAAGCGGAGGCGAGCCGGGCGGACUUGGAGCCCCAUGGCGCGGGGUGAGGUGCACUGCUGCGCUGGCAACCGAUGGGAGCUGCUCGUGAUCCUCUCGGGAUCGAGCAGAGGAGCCGUCGGUGGAUGGAGGGGGCUGGAUUGAUGGAGCGCACUGGUUGGGUGAGAAGCGGAUCUGGGAGGAUCCCGAGGAAGAUGUAGUGGACUAGUGGCGGCGGAGGGAUUCGGAGGAUGGGACAGUUCUCCUCAAAAUUAGGGUUUGGACAGAUAUUUAUAGUAGGUGGUCAAAGGUGUGACUAUCUGGUCCCUCCGAUUAUAAUCGGAUGAUCCGAGAUAAAAAGGUUAGGUAGCCCAAAUAAUACGUCGAUGAUGUUUUAGGGAUGUUAGGGGAUGAUCCGGAACCAUCGGUGACGACUGCCCGGUCGGGUUCGGGGAAGUUUUGGACGCGCGUGAGGGGGUUCUCAGAACUAAGUAAAGAGGAGGUCUGACAAAAGGCCACGGAGGCAAGGGGGGUUUGAUGGGCUCAGAAAAAGAGAGAAGAGAAGGAGAGGCCCGUCAACUGUUUCCGGAGACCGAAAACGUCCAACAUUAGACCGGCUAUAAUGCCGCUAUAGUUUAAUGGUUGGGCUAUCAAACGAACUCCGAAUGCGAUGAAACGUGCCAGACGGCCUACCUACAACAUAACAACACCGCAUGCCAACUUUCAACCCAUUCCGAGAACAUUUUCUUGCCACUUAUAAAAUACUAUUUCGGACGUGCCACGGGCGCGUGCGAGUGUGUCUGGGCUCAGAACGGACAACGGAAGGAAACUGAGAGACCCGGACGGAUGCAAGUUUUGAAAACAUGCAGAUGCAAUGCGGAUGAUGACAUGGCAAGAUGCUACACGCAAGCAAAUGACAAGGCAACAACAACGAAUAACUGGAAGACACCUAGCGCGUCGGUCUCGGGGCGUCACAACACUCCACCACUAUGAAAGGAUCUCGUCCCGAGAUCUAGGACGACACCGGAGAAAAGCGGAAGAGGAAGAGGUAAAACAAAGUUGCUUCUUUGACAAACAAGUGAAACCAAAGAACCUUGAGAGGUAAAACUGUUUCGAGAAAAGAAUACAACGGAGAUGAUCGAAAUUGAAAACACUCCAUUAGAAAAGAGGAACAAGGAAGAACAAAUUCGGACAGCACUCCGGUUGAAAAGAAAUGCAAGACUUGAUAAGUUGAAAAGAACUUGAGCAGAGGACACAACACUCCGGUUAAAUGGAUAAGCAUGAAAAGAACACGAUCUUCACAAUUCGAGAUGAUGAGUGAAGAGAGCAACAUCACAAUGUCUCCGGAACAAAUGUAAGAAUGGAAUCAAAAGAACGGAGGAGAAGACCACAUCUUCUACCUCAAAUGAGCUUGGAAAAGCAUCUUUAGGAGAAGGGUCGAACGGAGUUAUUGGAAAUCCAACAACGAAAAGAGUAAGCUUGUAGUGGCCUUAUGGAAAACAUCUAGAAAACUUGAGGUGAAAUUCUACCACUAAUGAAAAACAAUGGAUUUGGAUUGAUAUGAACAAGGAGACGAGAAACUAUUUCACCGGGAGGAUAAAUGAAGAACUUGGGUCAUUUAUAAGCACCAUAAUAGCAAAAAUCCUUAAGGAAAGCUUUAGGUGAAAUAUAACCCAAGAUAAUUCCAAUGAAGAGGUUGAUUGGUUGAAAAGAUGUCUUGAGCAAAGAGAAAAUGAUGGAUUUAGAUAUAUCACUCUUGAAAACUUGUCAAUCAUGAAACACGAAGGGAAAUUAUCAACAAUGACAUAACACCACCUCAAAUGAUAAGGUAGAAAGAAUUGCACUUCAGAAUGCAAGAUGAAGAAUGCUUGAACUCCUCUGAACAAGACAUGUGUUGAACACCAUGUUUAAUUUUGAGUAUAGGUUGGCAGAUCUUAACUUCGAGAGAAAUCUUGAAGAACAAUUGAAGAGUGAAAAUAAUCCUUGACGAACCACCAUGUAGCCUCCAUGAAGAACUCCCGUAACAAAAGGAUGAUCAAACAAAAGGAAAGAGAAAUUGAAAACACAAGGUGAAGCCUUGCGAUGAUUUAAAUGGAGCUGCGUGGUGACAUACUUGAGAGAUCUUGGAACUCCGGGAAAAGAAAAGAUGAAACAAUUGAAACCGGGAAUUUUGAUGAACCUCCGGAAUAAGGAAUUGUCUUCACUUGAUGAAACAAGAAUAAGAAUUAUAUAAUGCUUAUCCUUCACCAAUUAAAUUGAUGACAAGCAAUUGAUUUGGCAUACUACUUAUUCUCGUUGAAAGGAUUAAGAUAAAUAUGGCACAAACUUGGUAAGGUCUUCAACGAACCACCGGUAGGAUUGGAAAGAACGAAUGAAUUGAUAUGAUGACAUAUGAAGAGGAAUCUUGAAUAAACUGCCGUAAGAAUUGAAAAAUGAAUGUAGCAAAGGCACAAAUCACCAGGAAGAAACACUGUUGAACGAUUGCUUAUGAAGAUAUAAUGCACUAGUUGAUUUAAAGAAAGACAACCCCUAAUGCAUAGAUCCCCGAUUGUCCCGACUGGGCUCCACUACUGAUCAACUGGAAACGAAACAACACAACGAACACGAUCUUCAUCGAGCUCCCACUUGAGUUGGGUUGCGUCACCUGCACUGGUAUCGUCGGCACCUGCAACUAUUUGGAAGUAAUCUGUGAGUCACGGGGACUCAGCAAAUUCACACCCGCGAGAUCAAGACUAUUUAAGCUUAUGGGUAGGAAAAGGUAGUGAGGUGGAGUUGCAGCAAGCACUAGCAUAUAUGGUGGCUAACAUACGCAAAUGAGAGCGGGAAGAGAAGGAAAGCAUGGUCGAGAAACUAAAAGUGAUCAAGAAGUGAUCCUGAAACUUCUUACGUUCAAGCAUAACACAAGACCGUGUUCUCUUCCCAGACUCCGUCGGAAAGAGACCAUCACGGCUACACACACGGUCGAUGCAUUUUAAUUAAGUUAAGUGUCAAGUUUUCUACAACCAUAUAUUAACAAAUUCCCAUCUGCCCAUAACCACGGGCACGACUUUCGAAAGAUCAAAACCCUGCAGGGGUGUCCCAACUUAGCCCAUCACAAGCUCUCACGGUCAACAAAGGAUAUUCCUUCUCCCAGGAAGACCCGACCAGACUCGGAAUCCCGGUUACAAGACAUUUCGACGAUGGUAAAACAAGACCAGCAAAGCCGCCCGAAUGUGCCGACAAAUCCCGAUAGGAGUUGCACAUAUCUCGUUCUCAGGCCACACUGGAUUGUCCAAACUUCCGGUAGGCCAACCCAGAGUUGCCCCUGGUGGCCACCGGCGGCUGACAGGUUGGACCAACACUCAGAGGAGCACCGGCCUGGGGGUUUAAAAUAAAGAUGACCCUUGAGUCUGCAGAACCCAAGGGAAAAAGGCUUAGGUGGCAAAUGGUAAUACCAAGGUUGGGCCUUGCUUGAGGAGUUUUAUUUAAGGCGAACUGUCAAGGGGUUCCCAUUAUAACCCAACCGCGUAAGGAACGCAAAAUCAAGGAACAUAACACCGGUAUGACGGAAACUAGGGCGGCAAGAGUGGAACAAAACACCAGGCAUAAGGCCGAGCCUUCCACCCUUUACCAAGUAUAUAGAUGCAUUAAAGUAAGUAAGAGAUAAAUAAUGAUAUCCCAACAAUAUCCAUGUUCCGACAUGGAACAACCUUCAUCUUCACCUGCAACUAACAACUCUAUAAGAGGGGCUGAGCAAAGCGGUAACAUAGCCAAACAACGGUUUUCUAGGACAAGGUGGGUUAGAGGUUGGACAUGGCAACAUGGGAGGCAUGAUAUAGCAAGUGGUAGGUAUCGCAGCAUAGAAAAAGAGCGAGCAACUAGCAAGCAAAGAUCGAAGUGAUUUCGAGGGUAUGGUCAUCUUGCCUGAGAUCCCGCAAGGAAGAAGAAUGAGUCCAUGAAGAAGGCAAACAUACGUAGUCGAACGAAUCCUCACAACGCGACAUUAUCAGAACUAACCUGAAGAAGCAACACCGGAAAGAAGCAAACAACAUAGUAAACAACCAUCACAUAAUCAUGGCAUGAUGCACAACCAAGUAUGAUGCAUGUCCGGUUUAAAUAUGCAUGGCAUGGCAUGG